rnacentral:lncRNA from 1 species
UAACAACACAUGUUCCUUGUUGAAAAAUCGGAAAAUGAAGAUAAGAAAAACCCAGUUGCAGCACCCAGACACAGAACACUUACCAUUUUGAAUUUCUCCUUCCGGCCCGCCCCCACACAUCCCUGUGUCCAUGUCUUAAGUUGCCUGAAACUGCACGUGGCUCCUCAGGCUGCAGACCAGAGUCCUGCCCUAGGAGCGCACCUGGCACACAGCAGGCACAGAGCCCGUGGGGCCGCAGGGCCUCAUCUCAUGCUGUAGAGAACGUCGGUGCCCCUGCCCCAAACUCCUGUUGAAACCUUAACCCCCAAUGUGACUGUGUCAGGGCCUUGGGAGGUGCUCUGGCCAGGCGCUCAGAGGGGGGCCCGAGGGGCCAGCUGGUACAAUCACGGCUGCCUCUCGGUGCUUCCACAUCACCAAAUUUUAGAACAAUGAGGCAUCCUUGCCCCUCACACACAGCCAACUCCUACUCAUCCUUCAAAGCCUCGCUCAAUGGUCCUGCUCUGAGUUCCCGGCAACUCCGCCGCCCACUACAAGAUCAAAAGUGUGGCCUGGCAAGUUCCCAUCGUGGCGCAGUGGUAAUGAACCCAACUUGGAUCCAUGAGGACACAGGCUCGAUGCCUGGCCCUGCUUAGUGGGGUGAGGACCCAUGCUGCUGUGGCACAGGCACAGCUGCAGCUCCAAUUCGCCCCCUGGCCUGGCCACUUCCCCAUAUACCGCAGGUGUGGCCCUAAAAAGACAAACAGCGGGGCACGGACCGAGUCUCACCUGGAAAGUGGAGAUGGGAAGGGAGCUGAGGCGAGGCCUGGGUGCUGGGGGCAAAGGUGGGGAGGGCCCCGGCACACCCUCGCACCUCAUGCUGUGCUUGCAGCCCCACAGCCCAGGAGCUGCUGAGGAGGGGGGUUGACGGCAGGGCUCCCAGAAAUUCCAAGGGAGCGUGCCUGGGUGCUCCUUUUCACAACCUGCUCUCCGCCUGUGCUUCCCUUUCUCCGGAAGAGAUGUUAUUUCAUCUCAGAACACCCGCAACUAAUCCGAAAAUCAGACUGUUCCUGCAGGACCUGACUUCAGCCAUGAACCAGGUAAGCCGAGUGGGACACCCUGGUUGUCAACACUUGGGCCUGCCAUCCCCAGGGCAGUGGUGCAAGCCACACAUACUCACCACACACACACAUCAAAUGCACGUGGAAAGACAUGCCUGAGCACAUAAAGACGCACACAUGCAGACACAGGCCACGAGGGACAGACUGGGUGACCUUUCUCCAGCUCGUUUUUUUCUCUGGAUGGUGAUAGGACCCUUCCCUCCGAGGAGUGUCCCCCCGCUUGGUGCCACCCUUUCUUGCCCCAGGUGCCUGCUGCCUACCCUGCAAAAAACCAGCCAGCCUGAGCACCCACUGUCCCUGACAACCAUCUUGGCAGUGAGGAGACUAAGGCUCAGAGAGGGUGACAGCCUGGGUAAAGUCACACAGCAAAGGGACUCCACCUAGAUCCCACACCCCACCCAGAACCAACUCUUGCCUUCCUGAGCCUCUCCAGGCCCCUGUCCCCACGGCAUUGCUGCACUAGCCUCUCCCGACAAGGCACACCUGUGUACCGGGGGUAGGCAGGGCCGCCUGACCCCUGGACUCGUAGCUCAGUUUCUGCAGCCUCUAUACGAUGAAGAGAUCAGAACACCUGCCCAGGGCCAACUGGAACACAGGACACCAUCCAGGGCUGGCUGUCCUGCACAGGGGCCUGCCUUGGGCACCUGUCCAGACUCUGGAGCCCAGGAUGGUAGCCUGCCUACCUCCACUGUUGUGCUAUUCAAGCAGAGGCAAGUUGCUGGGUUCAGAAGAUGUUUAAGGGAGAGCCUCAGACAAGGACAUAAAAGCAGAGCCAAAGGCCAAGCAGCAGGCAGGAGCAGAGUCUGUGUGCCUGGCAUCUCCAGCUGAUGGGCACCUGGAGGCUAUUGAUAACAUUCUUGGCAAGGCCUUGCAGUGGUGACAGCCCCAUUGCCUGUUGUUUUCAACAAUGACCCAGUUUUGCCCCACCCCCAUCCCAAAGCCAAGGAAGCUCUGGGCCUUUCCCAGGUUAGGUCGAGAAGACUGAAAGGCCAGCCCCCUUUUCCUGGACUUAAGACCUUUCAUCAAGCCUGGACCACAGUCCUAUUGCAGCUUGCUGAUAGGUGGCCAGCCAUCAUCACUGCAUCCCAAAGCUGACACAUGCCCAACAUGCUACAGAGAAGGCCAGAGGUCAUGCAGAAAGAAAGCUCCGCAAAGGCAAGAAGAGUUUGUUCUGUUCACUGCUGUGCCCCUGCAAACGAGACUGUGCCUGAAACACAGGAGGUGCUCAAUAAAUACCUGAGCGGCUGGCUGCCUUUCUCAACCAUGGCCACCUGCACGGCACUUUCUACCUCCCCUGCCCCUCCGGCACCUGCUCCAUCAUCAGCUCCUGUCCCCAGAGCUGGAUCACCUCACGCUGCACCCUCUGGUCUUGUUCUAAGCAACUGAGAACUAACUGAGCCGAAAGGAACAGGCAUCCUGGGAACGCCCUGGGUCUGGUGUGGACUCUCAAGACAGAGGCCUCCAGGACCUGGAGAAGGGAGGCCACGGCCUCUCGCCAAUCCCUCUUCUCUUCUGGGCCUGUUUUGAAACAAAGACUGUAUUUUUUUCUGACAUCCAGAAACCGUACAAGAAAAAUACAUCUGCAAAUAAACCUGAAGCGUGGGAAGAGAGACCUCUAACACAGACGUUGCCUUAGCCUUCUCCUCGGCUUGAACUACGUGGGAAAAACCUAAAAUCUUUAUGUCUUCCCUGUAAAUCGCAACAAUUUGAAGCAACUAAAAAUUAGGACUGAUUUCCAUUAAAAAAAACAAAAACAAAAACAAAACACAACUACCAACAUUUUAACAAAGUAACUAGGGAACCUAAGAUUUUUUUCAUCCUGAAAUUCAGCAUUGCUGCAACUGUGGCUCGGAACCAAUCCUUGGCCUGACAACUCCAAAUGCCACAGGCAACCAAAAGAAAAGAGAAAAUUCAUCAAGUGGUGACACGUCUGAGUUAAAAUCAGAGAUGUACACCUUCCCU